rnacentral:rRNA from 1 species
UCGAGGGGUAUUGUUCUUCGGAAUAAGAGACCGGCGCACGGGUGCGUAACGCGUAUGCAAUCUACCUUUUGCAGAGGGAUAGCCCAGAGAAAUUUGGAUUAAUACCUCAUAGUAUGUGAGAAUGGCAUCAUUUUCACAUUAAAGUCACAACGGCAAAAGAUGAGCAUGCGUCCCAUUAGCUAGUUGGUAAGGUAACGGCUUACCAAGGCUACGAUGGGUAGGGGUCCUGAGAGGGAGAUCCCCCACACUGGUACUGAGACACGGACCAGACUCCUACGGGAGGCAGCAGUGAGGAAUAUUGGACAAUGGGCGCAAGCCUGAUCCAGCCAUGCCGCGUGCAGGAUGACGGUCCUAUGGAUUGUAAACUGCUUUUGCACAGGAAGAAACAACGCUACGUGUAGCGUCAUGACGGUACUGUGAGAAUAAGGAUCGGCUAACUCCGUGCCAGCAGCCGCGGUAAUACGGAGGAUCCAAGCGUUAUCCGGAAUCAUUGGGUUUAAAGGGUCCGUAGGCGGUUUAGUAAGUCAGUGGUGAAAGCCCAUCGCUCAACGGUGGAACGGCCAUUGAUACUGCUAGACUUGAAUUAUUAGGAAGUAACUAGAAUAUGUAGUGUAGCGGUGAAAUGCUUAGAGAUUACAUGGAAUACCAAUUGCGAAGGCAGGUUACUACUAAUGGAUUGACGCUGAUGGACGAAAGCGUGGGUAGC